GAUGUGAGAGCCCUGGGCUCAACCUAGGAAUCGCAUUUGAAACUGACAAGCUAGAGUACUGUAGAGGGGGGUAGAAUUUCAGGUGUAGCGGUGAAAUGCGUAGAGAUCUGAAGGAAUACCAGUGGCGAAGGCGGCCCCCUGGACAGAUACUGACACUCAGAUGCGAAAGCGUGGGGAGCAAACAGGCUUAGAUACCCUGGUAGUCCACCCCGUAAACGUUGGGAACUAGUUGUGGGGUCCAUUCCACGGAUUCCGUGACGCAGCUAACGCAUUAAGUUCCCCGCCUGGGGAGUACGGCCGCAAGGCUAAAACUCAAAGGAAUUGACGGGGACCCGCACAAGCGGCGGAGCAUGCGGAUUAAUUCGAUGCAACGCGAAGAACCUUACCAAGGCUUGACAUACACGAGAACGCUGCAGAAAUGUAGAACUCUUUGGACACUCGUGAACAGGUGGUGCAUGGUUGUCGUCAGCUCGUGUCGUGAGAUGUUGGGUUAAGUCCCGCAACGAGCGCAACCCUCGUUCUAUGUUGCCAGCACGUAAUGGUGGGAACUCAUGGGAUACUGCCGGGGUCAACUCGGAGGAAGGUGGGGAUGACGUCAAAUCAUCAUGCCCCUUAUGUCUUGGGCUUCACGCAUGCUACAAUGGCCGGUACAAAGGGCUGCAAUACCGAGAGGUGAAGCGAAUCC
rnacentral:rRNA from 1 species